rnacentral:rRNA from 1 species
AUGCACGCUGGCGGCGUGCCUCAUACAUGCCAGUCGAGCGAACAGACGAGGAGCUUGCUCCUCUGACGUUAGCGGCGGACGGGUGAGUAACACGUGGAUAACCUACCUAUAAGACUGGGAUAACUUCGGGAAACCGGAGCUAAUACCGGAUAAUGUAUUGAACCGCAUGGUUCAAUAGUGAAAGACGGUUUUGCUGUCACUUAUAGAUGGAUCCGCGCCGCAUUAGCUAGUUGGUAAGGUAACGGCUUACCAAGGCAACGAUGCGUAGCCGACCUGAGAGGGUGAUCGGCCACACUGGAACUGAGACACGGUCCAGACUCCUACGGGAGGCAGCAGUAGGGAAUCUUCCGCAAUGGGCGAAAGCUUGACGGAGCAACGCCGCGUGAGUGAUGAAGGUCUUCGGAUCGUAAAACUCUGUUAUUAGGGAAGAACAAAUGUGUAAGUAACUAUGCACGUCUUGACGGUACCUAAUCAGAAAGCCACGGCUAACUACGUG